rnacentral:rRNA from 1 species
GAUGAACGCUAGCUACAGGCUUAACACAUGCAAGUCGAGGGGUAACGAGAGGGAAGCUUGCUUUCCUUGUCGACGACCGGCGGAUGGGUGAGUAACGCGUAUCCAACCUGCCCUUCAGUAAGGGAUAGCCUUUCGAAAGAAAGAAUAAUACCUUAUGUGAUCGUUUGAUGACAUCAGACGACGAUCAAAGAUUUAUCGCUGAAGGAUGGGGAUGCGUCCCAUUAGGCAGUAGGCGGGGUAACGGCCCACCUAACCUACGAUGGGUAGGGGUUCUGAGAGGAAGGUCCCCCACAUUGGAACUGAGACACGGUCCAAACUCCUACGGGAGGCAGCAGUGAGGAAUAUUGGUCAAUGGCCGUAAGGCUGAACCAGCCAAGUAGCGUGCAGGAUGACGGCCCUAUGGGUUGUAAACUGCCUUUAAACGGGGAUAAAGUGAGCCACGUGUGGUUUAUUGCAGGUACCGUUUGAAUAAGGACCGGCUAAUUCCGUGCCAGCCGCCGCGGUAA